GACGAACGCUGGCGGCGUGCCUAAUACAUGCAAGUUGAGCGCUGAAGGUUGGUACUUGUACCAACUGGAUGAGCAGCGAACGGGUGAGUAACGCGUGGGGAAUCUGCCUUUGAGCGGGGGACAACAUUUGGAAACGAAUGCUAAUACCGCAUAAAAACUUUAAACACAAGUUUUAAGUUUGAAAGAUGCAAUUGCAUCACUCAAAGAUGAUCCCGCGUUGUAUUAGCUAGUUGGUGAGGUAAAGGCUCACCAAGGCGAUGAUACAUAGCCGACCUGAGAGGGUGAUCGCCCACAUUGGGACUGAGACACGGCCCAAACUCCUACGGGAGGCAGCAGUAGGGAAUCUUCGGCAAUGGACGAAAGUCUGACCGAGCAACGCCGCGUGAGUGAAGAAGGUUUUCGGAUCGUAAAACUCUGUUGGUAGAGAAGAACGUUGGUGAGAGUGGAAAGCUCAUCAAGUGACGGUAACUACCCAGAAAGGGACGGCUAACUACGUG
rnacentral:rRNA from 1 species